GAUGAACGCUGGCGGCGUGCCUAAUACAUGCAAGUCGAGCGAACAGACGAGGAGCUUGCUCCUCUGACGUUAGCGGCGGACGGGAGAGUAACACGUGGAUAACCUACCUAUAAGACUGGGAUAACUUCGGGAAACCGGAGCUAAUACCGGAUAAUAUAUUGAACUGCAAGGUUCAAUCGUGAAAGAAGGUUUUGCUGUCACUUAUAGAUGGAUCCGCGCCCCAUUAGCUAGUUGGUAAGGUAACGGCUUACCAAGGCAACGAAGCGUAGCCGACCUGAACGGGUGAACGGCCACACUGGAACAGAGACACGGUCCACACUCCUACGGGGGGCAGCAGUAGGGAAUCUUCCGCGAUGGACGAAAGCCUGACGGAGCAACGCCGCGUGAGUGAUGAAGGUCUUCGGAUCGUAAAACUCUGUUAUUAGGGAAGAACAAAUGUGUAAGUAACUAUGCACGUCUUGACGGUACCUAAUCAGAAAGCCACGGCUAACUACGUG
rnacentral:rRNA from 1 species